UGGGGAUGACGUCAAGUCCUCAUGGCCCUUAUGUCCUGGGCUACACACGUGCUACAAUGGCGGUGACAGUGGGAAGCGAGGUUGCGAAGCCGAGCUGAUCUCCAAAAGCCGUCUCAGUUCAGAUUGCACUCUGCAACUCGGGUGCAUGAAGGUGGAAUCGCUAGUAAUCGCGGAUCAGCAUGCCGCGGUGAAUACGUUCCCGGGCCUUGUACACACCGCCCGUCACACCAUGGGAGUUGGUUCGACCUUAAGCCGGUGUGCGAACCCAGCAAUGGGACGCAGCCGACCACGGUCGGGUUAGCGACUGGGGUGAAGUCG
rnacentral:rRNA from 1 species